rnacentral:lncRNA from 1 species
CUCUGAGCGCUGCAAAUCCCGAGCGCUAAGGAGCAGGGAAAGGAGUCAUUAUAGUUGUGUCGUCCAGUUUGUUGCUGUUGCAGGAUAUCCUUACAGCUCCUCGCAUAGAAAUUCCAGGGAUUUGUUUCUGCCCCCUCUCCUCCCGCGACUGUUUCUUUUGCGCUGUGUAUGUAGCACGUUCGCGGUAGAGAUCUGUUUUUGGCACCGACAUUUGAUGCCACAUUUUUUUUUACCGUUAGAUAAGGAAUUAACAAGAGUUGUCAAAUGUUUCUGUGUUUUGAAAAGGUUUUGGAAAUACCCGUAUUUCGGUGGGAUAAGCACACAACGUUGGACUUGUGUUUAUUUUUGCUGUCGGACUAAUGGUUUUGUAAUGCACGAACGACGUGGAGGUUGACAAAAAAGUUGAAGAAUGAAUUUCCACAUAGUCCCGCAGACAAAGUAACUGGAUAGGUCUCGAAAACCCUGCUAUAAGACUGCCAGCGGAGCGAUCUACCGACAGGACUGUACAAGAAGGGGUGGCUCAUCUCGGAUUUGUAGUUUGGAUUUUACACUCCGUGGCCCAUAGUCUUAUUUAUCCAAAACGGUUGAACUGAAAACCGGGACAUUCAGAUGUUUUAGUCAAAAAUAUUCUCCUCCAUCCCAUUAGUUGAAUUAAAAGGUGCUAUCGCGUGCCAUCUCUCCCCACUUGACGUAGAACCGUGCAUCGCCUAUCAUGCGCCGCUUCUUGGAGAAAAUAUGCUGCAAAAUUGAGGGAAGUCAAGAAGCAGCAUGACUUGCUCUUGGAAUUCCCUUGAAUCUCAAUUUUCCUCUUAUAUAAUAUCUUGAUGCUGUACAUUUUUGGUUUACAAAUAUGAUGAAAUGGCAGCCCCGGAAGAAGAAUCCCUUGACGUUGGUUGGAGUUGCCGAGACAAUCAAAGUGACAGUUUGGAUACGAAGACAAUCUCAAGGAAGAAUUUUAUAAUUUUAUGCUUCAUUUUUCUCCUCAUCUCUAAAACAGUCUCUGUUGGUGACUUCUUAAAAGGGCCUUGCCGUGUCUAUCAGAUUCAGGGCUGUUGCUGAGGAAUAUGUUGGGUUGAGCAGUGUGUAUCGGAAAUAAGCCCCUCCAUAUUGCCUCUGGACACAUCCCCCCUAUCAAGCAGUU